UUUUUUUUCCUUUUCACAAGUAGUCAUUCACCUAUUUUAUUUUAGAUCAUCGGAUCCAAGUUCUGCACCAGAAGCAUAUGAUGCAUGAACAUAAACUUUCAGAAAAACAAGAUGAAGUGUUAAGCACACCCAUGACUAUGACAGACGUAAAAGUUUCAGGGCCAUCUGUAAAAACACAGUUAUUACCAAGUGGAGUGCACAUUGAUGUGCAAGAGAUGCGAUCUUCUAACAGUGUGACAACAGAAGCAGCUCAGGUUUCUAAGAGUUCUUCAAUGCUGAUUAUUAACAAGCUGCAGAAGAUUUUCCCAAAUAUACUUUUGGACACUCAGACAAAAUAUAAGGAAGUGGAUAAUGAAAAAAAAGAAGACGGUAAAAAGAAAAGGAUGUUGUUUCCUGAUUUGGAGCAAGAUAAAAAUACUGGUAAUAACAAAGACAGAUUAACAAGAACUAAUAUUACUAUAAGAUUCCAUUCCAAUGAUAAUUCAAGCCAAACUCAGAUUGAUAUUUACAAUUUAAAAAAUUCAAGAGCGAAUCCUGAGGUGCAUAUUGUCGCCAGCAAUAUUAUUGACCAACAAAAUAAAAUAAAUUCAGUAGUAGUACAAGAUGAUGUUUUGCAAGUGACAGUAAACAGUUCGCUGGAUAAGAAAAUACAGAAUAAUACAAAAGUAAGAGAAAAAAGUCUUGCAAAAAUUGAGGCUGGAAAUAUGGAAAGAAACUCCACAGGUAGCAACAGGAAAAAACUUCUUAUAGCAGAUCUGCCUGAGUCUGCUACUUAUCCACAUCGUCAGUUGAACCGUAUUUUACAGACGCUGGAAGAUCACAUGGGUGUUCAAACAUAUAAUUUCCAAGGUGUAAAAGAAAACCAAUCUCAAGUGUCAGUGAGAAUGCUGAAGAAUGUAUUACAGGACUUACAGAAAGAAUAUAAAACACAGGUGCCUUUAACAGGUAGUGAGAGUAUGAACUCUUCAGUCAUGGAAAACAUUCUUCAAAAUUUAAAAAAACAUAAAGAGAAGUCAGAAUCCAGUGAAAAGGAAAACAAGGCACAGACACCUUUUGAGGGACAAAGUCGCAGUCUACAAGUCUCAGAUGAAAAUAUAGACCAAUUUAAAGUAACACUUGUGCCAGAGCCUACAAGUGUCACAACAAAGGCAAACAUGAAAGAUGCCAAACGAUUUGAAUUUUUUAAAGAGCAUGAAGGGAACCAGUAAUAACUAAUACUUACAACAUUUACAAAAGAGAAAACCCAACAAAAGAUGAAGCCAAAUCAAUCACAGAAAUAGACUGCAAAGAACUGAAAAAAGACGUUGCUGUAGUGAAAAAUCAGUCUGAACAUAGUAACCUGAAUCAACUACCACUGCACUUAUCAACAGACAAAUCUAAAGAAAAUGGUCAAGACUUAGAACAUUCAGAAAAACAACCAGACCAUAAUACUUCCUCCAUUAACUCUCCAUCAAAAAGGAUUGAUGAAAGAAAUAUAAUUCUGUCAACAUCAACUGAACCUUUAGAGUGUAACCACUCUUCACAAAUGCCCCCUGACAAUUGUUCAUCUUCAGAAAUGAAAACAUGCAAGAACCACAGAACUAGACCUAGAACUUUAAAAACAAAUCAAUCUUGUUGUCACAAACCAAGACAACAUUGUACAGAACCAAAAGAACAUGGUUAUAAAAGACUACAGGAUAAAGAUACCGCUCUUCACAGAAAGCAUUUAAACCAUCAAAGAUCAUCUAGGCAUGACAGACAUAGAUCAAAGUCCACAAAAUGUAAUACAAGUCAUUCAAACUGUUCACUUCUAGAUGGAUGUUGUCAUGACUCAAGUCCUAGUGAUGAUUCUUCAUCAGAUGUAUUCAUUUCUUCAGAUACAACUGCAAAAACACAUCUAUCAGAAAUAUCCCAACAUGAUGGUUCAAAGUGUACAUAUUCUCAGCACAGAAUGGGUUCUUGUAGCUCUGAUUCAUAUUCUGAUUAGAACAUUAGUAGCACUCAAAGGAGUAAACAUUAUCAUUCUGCAUGAUCAGUGAUAUCCAUCAGCAUGUAGUACCAAUCAUUUUACCACGUGUGAUCAUGAUAGUCCUGGGUGUUAUGGAGGUUGUUUUCUUUUGUAAUCAUGCUAAUAAAUAAAUAUUUUUAUAUUAGGCUUCUGUACUU
ensembl:lncRNA